UUUUUUCUUAUUACUCAAUGAAUUUUUUACAUUUAUAGUUGUACAAUGAUCAUCAUCAUAAUCCAAUUUUAUAGGAUUUCCAUCCCAAAACCCCAGCACAUCUCCCUACCCCCCAAACUGUCUUCUUUGGAAACCAUAAGUUUUUUAAAGCCUGUGAGUCAGUAUCUGUUCUUCAAAGAAGUUCAUCAUGUCCUUUUUUCAGAUUCCACAUGUCAGUGAAAGCAUUUGAUGUUGGUGUCUCAUUGUAUGGCUGACUUCACUUAGCAUGAUAAUUUCUAGGUCCAUCCAUGUUGCUAAAAUUUCUGGUAUUUUGUUCCUUUUAAUGGCUGAGUAAUAUUCCAUUGUGUAUAUGUACCACAUCUUCUUUAUCCACUCCUUUGUUGAUGGACAUUUAGGUUGUUUCCAUGUCUUGGCUACUGAAAAUAGUAAGCACAUAUUUCCUAUUUAUCUAUCCAUCUCUCUAUUUAAACAUGAAUCAGUUGGAAAUUCUCUCACUUUUCCUCUUUGCUGCUCAGUUUUUUCUGUUUGCAGCCAGUCCUGAAUACAACAGAAUCUUCAUUAAUGUCACAGUCUGUCAAUUCAACGUCUGUGACGUUUUGGCUAAAGACUGGUCUUCAGCUUAUUCAGUUGGCAAGAAGACAAUGUCAUGAAUAUGUUCAAGCCAUAUUGUCCUUUUUUUUUUGGUCUUUUUAUGGCCACGCCCACAGCAUAUGGAGUUUCCUAGUCUAGGGGUCGAAUUGGAGCUGUAGCCACCGGCCACAGCCACAGCCACAGCAACGCCAGAUCCGAGCCUCAUCUGUGACCUACACUACAGCUCACAGCAACGUCGGAUCCUUAACCCAUUGAGGGAGGCCAGGGAUUGAACCUGAGUCCUCAUGGAUGCUAGUCAGACUUGUUUCUGCUGAGCCAUGAUGGGACCUCCUUAGGCCAUGUCGUCUUUUGUGUCUCAUUCGUAGUGGAUGAUAAACACCUGAGUUGCCCAGUAUGAUAUGAGGAUUUCGAAGCUGAACAGUCCUGGCUGUUCCUUGCAUUUACUGGCUGAGUGAUCAGAGGCAUAUUAUGUGAUCUUUAUGCUCCUUAGAUGCCCUAUUUGCACAAAAGGGGAUGAGACUAUCUGUCUUCAAGGUGAAUGUGAAGAUUGAAAGUAGGAUAUGAAAACUACCUGGGCAUAUUGACUAAGCAUUGUGUGUGGAACCUCCACUGUCCAUGUGUCAUGUAUAAUAAGUAGGCAUUGAACCACAGGUAAUAUUGAGCAGAAAAGAGGAGUUCCCAUCGUGGCUCAGUGGUUAACAAAUCCAACUAGGAACCAUGAGGUUAUGGGUUAGAUCCCUGACUUUGCUCAGUGGGUUAAGGAUCUGGUGUUGCUGUGAGCUGUGGGUGCCGGUCACAGACACGGAUCCUGUGUUGCUGUGGUGUAGGCUGGUGGCUACAGCUCCGAUUAGACCCCUAGCCUGGGAACUUCCAUAUGCCAAGAGUGUGGCCCUAAAAAGCAAAACAACCAACCACAACAGCAAAAAACAGGUUUACAAAGUGCUUGUUCAAAGGUCUUUCACACAUCUCACUGUAUUUUAACAACUGUGUAAGAUAGGAGAGCACGGAUUAUUAAACCUCUUUUAUAGACUGAACAAGCUAAAAUUUAAAAACUGUGUUUAAAAACAAAAACAAAAACAGGGAGUUCCUGUUGCGGCUUAGCAGUAAUAAAUCCAACUAGUAUCCAUGAGGAUGCUGGUUCAAUCCCUGGCCUUGCUUGGUGGGUUUAGGAUCUGGCAUUACUGUGAGCUGUGGUGGUAGUCGCAGAUGUGGCUUGCAUCUGGUGUUGCUGUGGCUGUGGCAUAGACUGGCAGCUGUAGCUCCAAUUCGACCUCUAUUCCCGGGAACUUCCAUAUGCUGUGGGUAUAGCCCUAUAAAAACAAAAACAAAAAAAGGCAAAAAAAAAAAAAAAAAAAAAAAA
rnacentral:lncRNA from 1 species